CACCCACUCUCCACACCCAGGCUCAGCCCUGCACAAGCGCUUGGGCUCGGGGCAAGGACAUUUCUCUCGGGCAGAGCUGUGGGCCUGCUCUGCAGCAUGAACGAUUUCUCCAGAAGUACUUCUCCCCAUGGCUCACUGUCAUGGAACCACAAUGGCCACCCUGCACAGAGGGGCUUGAAGGAAAUAGCUCCUAAGAUGGAGACAAAAAAGCGUUGAGUACCAUAUAUGAGGUUGACUCACUGAGUUCACAAUCUGAAAAACCUACCUCAUGAUUAUAAACCAGGACCUUGCUGUGAAGUGGAAAUUCUUGGAUACUAGGACAGAAGAACCUAACAUCUCCAGAAGCAGCUAAGGCAGAAUCGAUGCAAUGAAGGAAAGAAUUAGUGACGCAGAAACAUAUUUAAGAGGAAAUCCAAAACACUAUUAAUUUAAUAAAUAUAAUGCCUCCU
rnacentral:lncRNA from 1 species